GACAGACAUGAUCUGACUUAAGUUUGGAGACCAAAACUAGAAAGGUAACUGGACUAUGAAGACAGCCACUAGUUUGGCCUUGGCCCCUCAAGGUCAACAAAGAUGAAGGACACAAAGGAACCUUUCCUACAGGAUCCUACAUCUUUGAUUCAAAGCUAUAUGGCUACCAAGAUGACAAUGCCUGGCACCUAUCAAGGGCCUUCUUCAGCUGGAAGUAGCCAGAAUGGACUUUGCCCUUUGCCCCCUCACACAGUUAGGGGUACUUCUUCAGAGGGGGGAAUAUUGCAGAAAGGUAAGGUAAUUAGAUAUGUUGUGUGCAGUUAGACCAGCCCUCCAGGAGCCAACACAGCAAGGAGCCAACAUGGAGGACAAUCAAGACACAUUCACUGAAGGCCAGAAUUGUAAAAAAGAGAGAAACCACACACCCUUGUGCUUCCCCUGGGGAUAAAUAGCAGUGAUUGAUAUUCUAAAAAGGUAUCAAUCACUUGGGUGGGGGGUCAAGGUCUUAACCCAGCCUCUCCAGGAAAUAUACCUGACCUACCCUUACUGAAAAUCCUUGUAUGCUUGCUACGUGACU
rnacentral:lncRNA from 1 species